rnacentral:rRNA from 1 species
GGGCGGUGUGUACAAGGGGCAGGGACGUAAUCAAUGCGAGUUAAUGACUCACACUUACUGGGAAUUCCAAGUUCAUGUGAACAGUUUCAGUUCACAAUCCCAAGCAUGAAAGUGGUUCAGCGGUUUACCCGGACCUCUCGGUCUAGGAAAUACACGUUGAUACUUUCAUUGUAGCGCGCGUGCAGCCCAGGACAUCUAAGGGCAUUACAGACCUGUUAUUGCUCAAUCUCAUUAUUGCUAGACGCAAUUUGUCCAUUUAAGAAGCUAGUGUCCUUAUAAUGGGACAAACCAACAGGUACGGCUCCACUUGAAUAAACACAUUCAAACACUUAUACAUUUUACUGCAGUCAUGAAUGAAGGCUACACAAGCUUCAGCACCAUAAUCCUGAAAGCAUCUAUUUAAUAUAUUUGAGUCUCGUUCGUUAUCGGAAUUAACCAGACAAAUCACUCCACGAACUAAGAACGGCCAUGCACCACCACCCAUAGAUUCGAGAAAGAGCUAUCAAUCUGUCUUACACACUUAUGUUCGGACCUGGUAAGUUUUCCCGUGCUGAGUCAAAUUAAGCCGCAGGCUCCACUCCUGGUGGUGCCCUUCCGUCAAUUCCUUUAAGUUUCAGCUUUGCAACCAUACUUCCCCCGGAGCCCAAAAGCUUUGGUUUCCCGGGAAGCGACUGAGAGAGCCAUGAAAGUAGCUACACCCAAUUGCUAGCUGGCAUCGUUUAUGGUUAGAACUAGGGCGGCAUCUGAUCGCCUUCGAACCUCUAACUUUCGUUCUUGAUUAAUGAAAACAUCUUUGGCAAAUGCUUUCGCUUAAGUUAGUCUUACGACGGUCCAAGAAUUUCACCUCUCGCGUCGUAAUACUAAUGCCCCCAAACUGCUUCUAUUAAUCAUUACCUCUUGAUCUAAAAACCAAUGAAAGUAGAACAGAGGUCUUAUUUCAUUAUUCCAUGCACAAAAUAUUCAGGCAUU